ACGCGAGAGGGAAAGGGAAGGAGAGGGUUUCGUCAUGUCUGUUGUUGGUAUAAAAAGGACGGCACUCGUGUUCGUCACCUGCGUUAUCUAGAGGUCCUGAAAUCCUCUGAGAGACGGAAGAAACUCAUCUACACUAUCGCUCUGGAAACCCUAACUCCAUAUCCUACCUAGUCCUCCAUUUUCUCUCGGAAAAAAACUCAUCUACACUAUCGCUCUUAGAGACGGCCUCUGAAUCUCUAGCUUUCUUUACCGGCUUUGGUAGCUCCGGGGAGAACUCUAAUUUUCUCUCGGUUUCUUUUGAUUCAUUUGUUUCGAAACCCUAAUUUCUUCAUCAGAACUCUGGUAUUUUUUCUUUUUUUUGGCGACACCGAGUGUGGUGAGGUUACAAGGUUACCGAGUCCUUCUUAGGUGUUUUUUGCCCCAGUUUGUUGAGCCCUAUUUAUUUUCUGUAGGAAAAUCUAAUUGGUUUAGACGUUUCUCUGUAACCCUAGUCUUGAAUCCUUAAUUUGCAAGGCUAGAGAUUUGUUAUCUUAGUUUCAAUCUGGCAAUUAGAACUGCUGCUUCUAGUCUUCGGAGGCCUUUGCUCCAAUACACAAUAACACAACUGUGGCUUGUUUGAGAUCGGGCUAGAAAUGGUUGGAGGUGGGAGCAGGAUGGGCGAUGGGCCCUUGGGGAUAAGCAAUGCGAACGUUUUCGCUGCUCUCGAAAGCCUUAGGAGAAAGAAGAAAUCUGACAAGGAGCAUGGGUCGUCGAAGAGCAAGGGAUCUUCCAAAAACCGGGCCAAGGAACCUGAACCCCAGGUUUACUGGACGCCGGCGCCUCUGACGGUGAAAUCUAGGGCCGAUGUUGAUGAUGAUGACGACGAUUACUAUGCAACAACAGCUCCGCCUAGUGCUUGGGGUUCAACACAACCACAACAAAGGAUACUUCAGCUCCCGUUGAGGUUUAAUUUCUCCUGCUAUAUCCAUGAAGCCUAAACAAACAGAGGUUUAGUGUCCUUGAACGGAUUCUUGAGGUUUUUACUGUCUUUCCUUGAAGCGGAUGGUGGCGGGUGGCGGCUCUGAUGAACAAAUGGCUAGAAGAAGGAUUGACGAAAACAUGGAUGACACACUAGCAAAUGUGGAAGGGGCACAAGGAGCGCUGCUCAAGUAUCUCAUCCAACCGGUGGCUGAUGAUUAAGAUAAUCUUUGUAUUGAUUGUUGUACAUAAUAUCAUUUAUAGCCACUACACCGUCAAGUGAUCAAGUCUCAUCCAACAUUUCAAAAAUUAUAUUUGCAGUUUUGCACUGCCUUGUUGUACAUAACAUCAUAAACUAUGAUUGUGUGUAUAUACAAUGAAGUCUACCAUUAUUCUUCCCUUACAUUUUCUCCGGUAUGUUGCUGCUAGGAUGACAUGUCUUCCCUUACAAGUCUACCAUUUGUUCUCAUUGUAGUUUCA